CUGAAGAAGCUAAGAUAGAUUUUAAGACAUCUUUUAAACA
rnacentral:tRNA from 1 species